rnacentral:rRNA from 1 species
AUUGAACGCUGGCGGCAGGCCUAACACAUGCAAGUCGAACGAGGGGCGGACGGGUGAGUAAUGUCUGGGAAGCUGCCCGAUGGAGGGGGAUAACUACUGGAAACGGUAGCUAAUACCGCAUACCAUCGGAUGUGCCCAGAUGGGAUUAGCUAGUAGGUGGGGUAAUGGCUUACCUAGGCGACGAUCCCUAGCUGGUCUGAGAGGAUGACCCGCCACACUGGAACUGGGACACGGUCCAGACUCCUACGGGAGGCAGCAGUGGGGAAUAUUGCACAAUGGGCGCAAGCCUGAUGCAGCCAUGCCGCGUGUGUGAAGAAGGCCUUCGGGUUGUAAAGUACUUUCAGCGGGGAGGCGUUACCCGCAGAAGAAGCACCGGCUAACUCCGUGCCAGCAGCCGCGGUAAUAC